rnacentral:tRNA from 1 species
GGAGAGAUGCGAGAGUGGCUGAAUCGGGCGGUCUCGAAAACCGCUAAGGGGUAACCCCCCUUCGAGGGUUCGAAUCCCUCUCUCUCCGCCA